rnacentral:rRNA from 1 species
GACGAACGCUGGCGGCGUGCUUAACACAUGCAAGUCGAACGGUGAAGCUCCAGCUUGCUGGAGUGGAUCAGUGGCGAACGGGUGAGUAACACGUGAGCAACCUGCCCCUGACUCUGGAAUAAGCGCUGGAAACGGCGUCUAAUACUGGAUACGAGAAGGGUCCGCAUGGGCACUUUCUGGAAAGUUUUUCGGUUGGGGAUGGGCUCGCGGCCUAUCAGCUUGUUGGUGAGGUAAUGGCUCACCAAGGCGACGACAGGUAGCCGGCCUGAGAGGGCGACCGGCCACACUGGGACUGAGACACGACCCAGACUCCUACGGGAGGCAGCAGUGGGGAAUAUUGCACAAUGGGCGAAAGCCUGAUGCAGCGACGCCGCGUGAGGGAUGACGGCCUUCGGGUUGUAAACCUCUUUCAGCAGGGAAGAAGCGAAAGUGACGGUACCUGCAGAAGAAGCACCGGCUAACUACGUG